rnacentral:rRNA from 1 species
AGUUUUUUUAAUCAUUAGAAAAUAUAAUCUGCCCAUUGAAAAUAUUUUUUUUUAAAAGGCCGCAGUAUAUUGACUGUGCAAAGGUAGCAUAAUCAUUAGAUUUUUAAUUGGGAUCUUGAAUGAAUGGUUAAAUGAAAUAUAAACUUUUUUAAUUUUAUUAUUUGAAUUUUAUUUAUAAGUAAAAAAUCUUAUUUUAAAAAAUGGGACGAGAAGACCCUAUAGAAUUUUAUAAAUUUGAUUAAUUUAUUAUUAAUAUUUAAUUUAUUAUUUUAAAUUUUAUUUUGUUGGGGAGAUAGUUAAAUUUUUAAAACUUUAAUAAAAAAAAUCAUUUAUUAAUGUUAAAUUGAUCCUUUUAUAUUGAUUAUAAAAUUAAAUUACCUUAGGGAUAACAGCAUAAUAAUUUUAAUAAGUUCUUAUUUUUAAAGUAGUUUAUGACCUCGAUGUUGAAUUAAAAUAAUUAUUUUAUGAAGGGAUAAAAUAAAUAAGUCUGUUCGACUUUUAAAUUUUUACAUGAUUUGAGUUCAAAUCGGUGUAAG